rfam:Lyngbya majuscula 3L genomic scaffold scf46004, whole genome shotgun sequence.
GAAAGUAGGCGCAGGUGGUUGCGGAUUCGCAUUUUUCUGCGAGUCUGAGGAAAGUCCGGGCUCCCGAAAGACCAAACUUGCUGGGUAACGCCCAGUGCGGGUGACCGUGAGGAUAGUGCCACAGAAACAUACCGCCGAUGGGAAGGAUAAAGGUAGAAGGCUCCAGGAAGAAUAAAUUCUUCCGGCCUUUUUCCUGAUUCUUUCACAGGUAAGGGUGCAAAGGUGUGGUAAGAGCGCACCAGCAGCAUCGAGAGGUGCUGGCUCGGUAAACCCCGGUUGGGAGCAAGGUCGAGAGGAACUACGGUUGGUCUUUUACCAGUUCCGGAUAUGGAGAACCGCAUGAGGCGUCUGGUAACAGCCGUCCUAGAUAGAUAACCACCCUCUUUAGUAGCUUUUUCAUUGUUGCUAGGGAGAACAGAACCCGGCUUAUGUCCGACUUUCUCUC